rnacentral:rRNA from 1 species
UACGGGGGGGGCAAGCGUUGUUCGGAAUUACUGGGCGUAAAGGGCUCGUAGGCGGCCAACUAAGUCAGACGUGAAAUCCCCAGGCUCAACCUGGGAACUGCGUCUGAUACUGGAUGGCUUGAAUUCGGGAGAGGGAUGCAGAAUUCCAGGUGUAGCGGUGAAAUGCGUAGAUAUCUGGAGGAACACCGGUGGCGAAGGCGGAUCCCUGGGCCAUUACUGACGCUGAGGAGCGAAAGCGUGGGGAGCGAACAGG